GGGAUUACGUCCCGGCUUGAUGAAGUAGUUGUCAAUGGAAGCAUGGAUCACCGGUACCCCGGGAAUUUGAACAUAUCGUUUGCUUAUGUCGAGGGGGAGAGUUUGCUGAUGGGGCUGAAGGAGGUGGCGGUGUCGAGCGGGAGUGCGUGCACCAGCGCUAGCCUCGAACCGUCUUAUGUGCUGCGUGCACUGGGGGUUGAUGAGGAUAUGGCACAU
rnacentral:misc_RNA from 1 species